CAGUAGCCACGGGAAUACGUAGGUGGCAAGCGUUGUCCGGAAUUAUUGGGCGUAAAGCGCGCGCAGGCGGAUGGGUCAGUCUGUCUUAAAAGUUCGGGGCUUAACCCCGUGAUGGGAUGGAAACUGCCAAUCUAGAGUAUCGGAGAGGAAAGUGGAAUUCCUAGUGUAGCGGUGAAAUGCGUAGAUAUUAGGAAGAACACCAGCGGCGAAGGCGACUUUCUGGACGAAAACCGACGCUGAGGCGCGAAAGCCAGGGGAGCGAACGGGAUUAGAUACCCGCGUAGUCCCUGUCUCUUAUACA
rnacentral:rRNA from 1 species